AGCGAGAGGAAAGCUUGCUUCCUGUCGGCGACCGGCGCACGGGUGAGUAACGCGUAUCCAACUUCCCCUUAGUAGGGCAUAGCCCGGCGAAAGUCGGAUUAAUACCCUAUGUUAUCCGAAGAGGACAUCUGAAUUGGAUUAAAGAUUUAUCGCUAAGGGAUGGGGAUGCGUCUGAUUAGGUAGUCGGCGGGGUAACGGCCCACCGAGCCUGCGAUCAGUAGGGGUUCUGAGAGGAAGGUCCCCCACAUUGGAACUGAGACACGGUCCAAACUCCUACGGGAGGCAGCAGUGAGGAAUAUUGGUCAAUGGGCGCGAGCCUGAACCAGCCAAGUAGCGUGCAGGAUGACGGCCCUAUGGGUUGUAAACUGCUUUUAUGCGGGGAUAAAGUGCACCACGUGUGGUGUUUUGUAGGUACCGCAUGAAUAAGGACCGGCUAAUUCCGUGCCAGCCGCGGC
rnacentral:rRNA from 1 species